ensembl:lincRNA Gm42985 predicted gene 42985
CCAGGCUGAGGCAGUGAGAAUAACAAGGAAAAGGGCUGCAUGCCAAUAAAUCUAUUUGAGUCAUCUUUAUUAGUCCAGGGGAUGGAGGAUUAGAGCCCAGACUGAGACAGUAAGAGUAGAAAGGGACACAGAGAUAAGAGGCACUGAAGGAAACAACCAAAACAGUCAGGCUGGACUGAUGAAUGUAGAGGAGUAGGAAUACAGUGGUGGCCUGAAGCACCACCCCUGGAAUAAGAAUGCAGUUGCUCUGUAAAUCACAUUUUGGACACCAAGAUAUUAGACUCAUCCAGAUGCCUGAGGAAGAUGGUAUAAAGAACAAGGUAAUCUUGGAAAUAUAACAGGCAUGGGAGCCAGCUCAUGAAGACACAUAUGAGAAGUUCAGAUGUGUAAUACUAUGAAACUUGAACAUUGUCUUGUGGAUCACAUGAAGAAGGGUCAGAAAAAAUCACAGUAAGAAGUUAGCCAUUUGGAAGCCAAGGGGAAAGACCUCAAAAGACCUCAGCCUUGCAGAAAGACCUUAAUCUAGGACUUCUACUAUCCAUAAUUAUAAGCCAGUAUGUCUACAAGUCAAUCUGCCCCAUUUGAGAUUAAGAUGUGUGAUCUCAGUUCCUCCUUUACCCUGCCGGCAUGGACUCUAAGCCUCUGACACCAUAACCCAAGCGUACUCUUUUACUGAGGUCGACUUCAAGACUCCACUUCUUCAUAGUCCCAUCAUUUUCAUCCUGAGUGCAGAUCUUUACCACAUGUGCCUUUGUAGAACACUGAAGAUUCAGCUACAGUAAUGCUAAAAUAUGCUGUCUCAUACCUAGAUUGACCUGUAUCCCAAAUGUUCACACUCUGCUAUAUUCUUACUCAAAUCUAUACCUUUAUUUUAUCAAUGUAUUUUCAUUGUUCAUAAUAAAAUUUACUCCUGAAGCUU